UGAUCAUGGCUCAGAUUGAACGCUGGCGGCAGGCCUAACACAUGCAAGUCGAGCGGUAGCGGGAAGAGCUUGCUCUUUGCCGACGAGCGGCGGACGGGUGCGUAACACGUAGGAAUCUGCCCGGUAGUGGGGGAUAGCCCGGAGAAAUCCGGAUUAAUACCGCAUACGCCCUAAGGGGGAAAGCAGGGGAUCUUCGGACCUUGCGCUAUCGGAUGAGCCUGCGUCGGAUUAGCUUGUUGGUGGGGUAAAGGCCUACCAAGGCGACGAUCCGUAGCUGGUCUGAGAGGAUGAUCAGCCACACUGGGACUGAGACACGGCCCAGACUCC
rnacentral:rRNA from 1 species